rnacentral:rRNA from 1 species
GACGGAGGGUGCAAACGUUGUUCGGAAUUACUGGGCGUAAAGCGUGUGUAGGCGGCUUUGCAAGUCGGAUGUGAAAGCCCCGGGCUCAACCCGGGAAGUGCACUCGAUACUGCAGAGCUUGAGUGUCGGAGAGGUUGGUGGAAUUCUCGGUGUAGAGGUGAAAUUCGUAGAUAUCGAGAGGAACACCGGCGGCGAAGGCGGCCAACUGGACGAACACUGACGCUGAGACACGAAAGCGUGGGGAGCAAACAGG